GAACGACGCAACCUGUAUUAACAAACAAGGAUCGUUUUCCUGUUUAUGCCCCUCUGGUUGGGAGGGAUCACUCUGUAACUUAGAUAUUGAUGAAUGUAAAGAUAGCCCAUGUAUAAAUAAAGCAGCCUGUGAAAACAACGAAGGGUCGUUUACCUGAACAUGUCUCAAUGGAUGGGAGGGUUCACUUUGUGAUCAAGAUAUUAAUGAAUGUAAAGAUAGCCCAUGUAUGAAUGAAGCAGCGUGUAUUAACAAUCAAGGGUCGUUUUCCUGUACAUGUGUUAAUGGAUGGGAGGGAUCACUCUGCGAUAAAGG